GCACCGGCCACCCGUGUCUACCUGACCACGUUGCCUCGGUGGGCCCGCCGCUCCACGUCCCCCGGAUCCUCGGAUUCUACGGGGGGAACAGGGGCGGCCGCCGGGGGUGGCUUCACGGCCACCUCGGGCCCGCGCCCACCGCAGGGCCUCUGGAACUACUCUGCCGAUCAAGUGAACGUCUGAGUCAAAAUGAUUUAAUCAAUCAAAACUUUCAACAACGGAUCUCUUGGUUCCAGCAUCGAUGAAGAACGCAGCGAAAUGCGAUAAGUAAUGUGAAUUGCAGAAUUCCGUGAAUCAUCGAAUCUUUGAACGCACAUUGCGCCCCCUGGUAUUCCGGGGGGCAUGCCUGUCCGAGCGUCAUUGCAACCCUCAAGCCCGGCUUGUGUGAUGGGUGCCCGUCCGCCGUCCCUCCCGCCAACUCUGACGGGGGGAACCCGGCGGACGCGCCCAAAAGGCAGUGGCGGCGCUCUGGUCAAUCCAAUCGCUCAAGUGCAUGGGGCUCUGUCAAAGCACCUGCAGCGAGGACCGGUGCCGGCCUCUCUAGUUAUAUCUUCUCGGUAUAUCUUCUUCUAGGUUGACCUCGGAUCAGGUAGGGAUACCCGCUGAACUUAAGCAUAUCAAUAA
rnacentral:misc_RNA from 1 species